rnacentral:rRNA from 1 species
GGUGGACGGGUGAGUAACGCGUAGAUAACCUGCCUUGGCGUGGGGGAUAACCACUGGAAACGGUGGCUAACACCGCAUGGUUCUGUCGAGUGGGGACACUGGACGGAUAAAAUUUUAUGCGCCAAGAGGGGUCUGCGUCCGAUUAGCUAGUUGGUGGGGUAAAGGCCUACCAAGGCGAUGAUCGGUAGCUGGUCUGAGAGGAUGAUCAGCCACACGGGAACUGAGACACGGUCCCGACUCCUACGGGGGGCAGCAGUGAGGAAUAUUGCACAAUGGGGGAAACCCUGAUGCAGCAACGCCGCGUGGAGGAUGAAGGUCUUUGGAUUGUAAAUUCCUUUUCUCAGGGAAGAGAUGGGACGGUACCUGAGGAAUAAGUCACGGCUAACUACGUGCCAGCAGCCGCGGUAAUACGUAGGUGGCGAGCGUUAUCCGGAAUUACUGGGCGUAAAGCGCACGCAGGUGGCUCGAUAAGUCUGACGUGAAAGCUCCUGGCUUAACUGGGAGAGGUCGUUGGAGACUGUUGGGCUUGAGGCCAUGAGAGGGGUGUAGAAUUCACGGUGUAGUGGUGGAAUGCGUAGAUAUCGUGAGGAAUACCAGUGGCGAAAGCGACACCCUGGCAUGGGCCUGACGCUCAGGUGCGAAAGCGUGGGGAGCGAACGGGAUUAGAUACCCCGGUAGUCCACGCUGUAAACGAUGAACACUAGGUGUAGGUGGAGUGAAAUCCAUUUGUGCCGAAGCCAACGCGUUAAGUGUUCCGCCUGGGGAGUACGGCCGCAAGGCUAAAACUCAAAGGAAUUGACGG